rnacentral:rRNA from 1 species
GGUUAACCGUAUAGGGGAGCCGAAGGGAAACCGAGUCUUAACCGGGCGUUAAGUUGCAGGGUAUAGACCCGAAACCCGGUGAUCUAGCCAUGGGCAGGUUGAAGGUUGGGUAACACUAACUGGAGGACCGAACCGACUAAUGUUGAAAAAUUAGCGGAUGACCUGUGGCUGGGGGUGAAAGGCCAAUCAAACCGGGAGAUAGCUGGUUCUCCCCGAAAGCUAUUUAGGUAGCGCCUCGUGAAUUCAUCUCCGGGGGUAGAGCACUGUUUCGGCUAGGGGGCCAUCCCGGCUUACCAACCCGAUGCAAACUGCGAAUACCGGAGAAUGUUAUCACGGGAGACACACGGCGGGUGCUAACGUCCGUCGUGAAGAGGGAAACAACCCAGACCGCCAGCUAAGGUCCCAAAGUCAUGGUUAAGUGGGAAACGAUGUGGGAAGGCCCAGACAGCCAGGAUGUUGGCUUAGAAGCAGCCAUCAUUUAAAGAAAGCGUAAUAGCUCACUGGUCGAGUCGGCCUGCGCGGAAGAUGUAACGGGGCUAAACCAU